rnacentral:siRNA from 1 species
CUGUUUAGUGCAGCCAACGCA